UUUUGUCUUUUAGGGCCGCACCUGAGGCAUAUGGAGGUUCCCAGGCUAGGGGUCGACUCGGAGCUACAGCUGCCGGCCUACACCACAGCUACAGCCACGCGGGAUCCAAGCCGCGUCUGCGACCUACACCACAGCUCACCGCCACGCCGGACCCUUAACCCACUGAGCGAGGCCAGGGAUCAAACCUGCAACUUCAUGGUUCCUAGUCAGAUUCGUUUCCACUGCAGCACGACAGGAACACCCAUGGAAUAAGCUUAAUAAUACUAUCUUAGUAAUAAGAAUAGCUCUGAUUUUUGUAUGCACUUUCAGUGUAUCAGGCCCACACAAAGUGUUUUUACUCAUGCUAUCCCAUUGAAUUGUCACAAUCACCCAGGAAAAUCAGUAUCUAUUUUAUGGAUAAAAGGCUAAUAAUCUGAGAAGUUGAAAACCUCCAAUAUUCUCAUUCCAAAGUUUUUGCUCUGGUCUACCACAGGGCACCUCCUUCAGCUUGAAUUACAGAAUAUACAUUUACGGUUUCUGGAAUAUUUGUAUCAAAUAUUGCUUGAAGGGUGCAGUUGGCUGAGACUCAUCUUUUUCAAUUCAGAUUAUCGGAUAUGACUUCUGUUGAAAUGGUAUUGAUGCCCCAUUUCUACUCCUUGCCUUGGACCCAGCCCUCUGUAGUCAACAUAUUCACAUUCUCAGGGAACAUAUAAAUUGGACCCAAUAUUGCUUAUAUAUUUUAUCCUCCUGCAAAGAGGGUUAUGAAAUAAUUUUAAAAUUUAAAUGACUAUAAAGUACUUUGCAAAUAUAAAAAUUAAAGUAAUUUGUAGCACACACUGAAAGCAAAAAGAGUUAUAUAAAUGCUAAAUAAUAAUAUUGUAAAGCACCUACAUUUUGUGAUAAUAAGCACUGUAUAAAUGCUAAGUAGAACCAAAUAGAAAAUGUAGUGUUUUGAAUUGGCUCAUGAGUGUAUCAGGCUUCUUGUGUUCCAUGCACACAAAAAUAUUAUACCUGGGACUUGCAGCAAAAGUACAAAAGCAAAUACUUAUCUUUUUUCCUAAUUUUGUAGCUGUGCUAGUCAUUCUAAUACUGCAAUUCUCUAAAUCAUGGUGUAUCUAGGAAGACGGGCCCUUUUCCAGUUAUCUAUUACUGGGUAACAAGUCAUCCAAAACUCAGCAGCUUAAAUCAGCAAGUAUUUUUUAUUACUACUCAUGAUUCUAUGGGCUGCCUGGGCUCAGUUAGGCAGUUCUUCUAUUCCACAUCGUUCAAAUUGGGUUGUAGUCAUUUGGAGGCUCAACUGGGCUGAAAUACCCAAGAUGGCUCCUUUGAAUAUCUGCUGGUUUGUGCGAGCUGUUUGCUGGUUGCUCAGCCAAGGGUUAACUGAAGUGCCUCAGUUCUCCAUCACUGGCCUUUUUAUGGGGCUGGAGUUCUCAGACCAUGGUGGCUGGAAAUAUUUCAAGCAGACACGCAGCUUAUUGAACCUCUGCUUGCACUAUGCUUGGCAAUGUCCCAUUAGCUGAUGCAAGUCCUGAGACCAAGCCUGGACUCAAUAUGGGAAAGGCCUACACACGGCAUGACUACCCAAUGGGGUGGUUAAAUAGGAUCCACCAUUGUAAUAAUCCACCACAGAGCUAUCACCAGCUUUGCAAAUAUCCUCAUAUCCCAGAGUGAUACCAAAACAGAUGACACCCUUGCCACCACCACUGACGCCAGCACAACAAAGAACUAGAAUAGAAAUCAGCAAAGUUUAAAACAAUCAUUAGCCAGGUACAAGGGAUCUCAGUGAUGGCCUCGGUGAAAUGACCAUGUAGGACUCGAUGGGAUGCUAGUGGCUGAGGAAUGAUGGCACCCUGGCAACCGAAGAACUCUACAACCCUCCUGUAUUACUUAGCAAUAUAUUCAGCUGCAAGAAGCAUGAAAGACAAUCUCAGGGACUUAAAAAAAUAGGCACUUAUUUUUCUCACAUAAUAGGAAUUCCAAAAACAGAUGAUUACUCAGAUUGGUUCUACAAUUCAAUAAUGCAAUUUGAGGCCUUUCCUGCAUGGUCACAAGAUUGCUGCCCCUGCUCCAGGCAUUACAGCUGAGAUCAAAUCAGAAAGGAGAGAGAGCGGAGCCAGCAUCAGCUCAGGUGGAAGCAAAAGCUUUCCUGGAAAGUUCCAGCUGGCUUUCUCUUAGACAGUCUCCAACUGGCUGUCUCAUUGGCCACAACUGGUUACCCCAGCUGCAAAGGAGGCAGAGAAAGAGGGUAUAUCAGCACUUUGCUAACAAGGAAGUUGGGGGAGUUAUAUUCAUUAAAAGCAGUGUCUGUCACAACCUCAAUUUUCAUAAAUGACUCCAGAAAAAGGAGGAAUCCUGAAGUAUCUGAGAUGAAGCAUUAUAAUCUUUUUUUUUUUUUCUUUAUGGGGCCACACCUGCGGCACAUGGAAGUUCCCUGGCUGGGGUUGAAUUGGAGCUACAGCUGCCAGCCUAUGACGGAUCCCCAACCCAUUGGGAGAGGCCAGGGAUCAAACCUGCAUCCUCAUGGAUAUUGGUUGGAUUCCCUUCCAUUGCACCACAACAGGAACUCCAGGCAUGACAAUUUUAAUAGAAUGGGGUCUUAAAAUCUGAAUUAAGUUAUUCUAAAGAAAAACAAAGUUAAGUGCAGCCGCUAUGAUUAAACAAUGCCUUUAAAGGGUUGCUCCCUGGCAUGAAGCAAGCAAAUGUUAGCUGUGGCGGUAAAGAUGAUGUAAUGGUGGCAGAGAUGAAGAUAUUAAUUAUUACUACAACUGGCAUGAGAUAAAUUAAGGUUUGCCCAUCCAUCCAACAAAAACAUAUUGAGCUUUUUCUUUAAACAAGAGCCUUUCCAAUUCAAAUGCCAGGAAACAAAGAAUUUAAUGGGUGAUUCAUAUGGCCAGGGAAAAAUGCAAGCAUUUAUUUUGGAUACAGCAUUGAGAAUAAAGGAUAAGUGCUUUGGAAAGGGCAGUCCUAGUCAUUUGGAAUGCAAUUCAUUCUCUCCAGGAAUAAAGCUAUGGGCAUGGCAAACAUCAGGUCCUCAGAAGAAAGAUAUUUUUGUUGCAUUAAUAACUUCAGUAAAAAUAUCGGUAAACUUUUGAUUGGGGCAAGGACAUACAGAUACAAAAUAGAAUUGAGCUAAGCAAGAAUAUUUCUGUUUAAAAACGCGUCAGGUUUUGGUUGUCUGUGGUUUUAUUUGAUUUGGUUUGGUUUUUAGAGUCAUCAGCAAAAGAUUAAAGUAGAUACAGAAAAACCACACACACAAAAACUCCUUUGGCAGAAUGUCUUCACUGUGGGAUAGUGUCGGCUCUUUGUAAUUAAAAAGGACACAGGUUUAUUGUUCAGCUCAGGCACGUCUGCUGGGCCAGCUCUCAGGGCCCAGGUUGAAAAUGAAAACCAAAACAGGUAACAGAAGCCCAAAGAAGUGCACAAAGUUCCCUGGGUAUAAGAGAAGAACCCAGGUUGAAGAGAAGGUGGUUGAAUUGUUGGGAAGAUUAAUAAAAUUGAUUUCAUGAAGGGACACGGAAAAAAAUGAAUCACAAAUGAUCUUUUGGAAACUGGUCAGGAAAACAAGAGAUAGAAGGUACAUAAGUGUUACUUCGAACAAAAUACAAAACGCUUCCUUGGAAGGGAGAGCUUUGUCUAAGCCCUUCCAGGAGAGAAAUGGAAGGAAGGAAAAGGAAGAGAAGCCAAAGAGGUGGGGGGGGGGGUGCCCCGCGGGGAGGAGGUGGAGAAAGCCAUCAAUAAAGAGAAACCGCAGACCCAGACCGUAAGAGGCAAGUCUAACAGAGACUGAGUUCCAGAAGGAGGAGGAAUACAGGAAACAGCACACUGCUAGAUGGGGAGAAGAGAUGCGAUGCCCAGGCCAAUUUUAAGAAGAUAAAGGCAAAAGGAAAUUUGGAGAGCUCUUUCCAAAUCACUGGUCAGAAUGGCCAUCAUUAAUAAGUCUACAAAUAACAAAUGCUAGAGAGGGUGUGGAGAAAAGGGAACCCUCCUGCACUGUGGGUGGGAAUGUAAAUGAGUACAACCACUAUGGAAAACAGUAUGGAGGUGCCUCAGAAAACUAAAUAUAGAACUACCAUAUGAUCCAGAAAUCCCACUCCUGGGCAUAUAUCUGGGCAAAACUUUCACUGAAAAAGAUGCAUGCACCUGUAUGUUCACUGCAGCACUAUUUACAAUAGCCAAGACAUGAAACAACCUAAAUGUCCAACACAGAUGAGUGGAUUAAGAAGAUGUGGUAUAUCUACACAAUGGAAUACUACUCGGCCAUAAAAAAGAACCAAAUAAUGCCAUUUGCAGCAACAUGGAUGGAACUAGAGACUCUCAUUCUAAGUGAAGUAAGUCAGAAAGAGAAAGACAAAUACCAUACAAUAUCACUUAUAUCUGGAACCUAAUAUAUGGCACAAAUGAACCUAUCUACGGAAAAGAAACAAACUCAUAGACAUGGAGAAUGGACUUGUGCUUGCCAAGGGGGAAGGGGAAGGAGUGGGAUGCACUGGGAGUUUGGGGUUAGUAGAUGCAAACUAUUGCAUUUGGAGUGGAUAAGCAAUGAUGUCUUUCUGUACAGCACAGAGAACUGUAUCUAAUCAUUUGUGAUGGAACAUGAUGGAGGACAAUGUGAGAAAAAGAAUGUAUACAUAUGUAUGACGGGGUCACUUUGGCAUAUAGCGUACAGCAGAAAUGGACAGAACACUGUAAAUCAACUAGAGUAAAAAAGUUUUUUAAAUAUGGUAAAAGAAUAAUUUUUAAUAAUCAAUAAUAAAGUUUCACCCCAUCUUAAUGUUAAUAUUAGAUAAAUAUUAUGUCUAAAAGCCAGUACUGUCUGCCAGACUAGUAGAGAAACAAUGUAAGCUUCCGUACGAGGAAUGAAGGAAAUGCAGUUGUUCAAAAUACAUAAUCAAGUGAAGAAGAUGAAGGGUUAUUAAUAAGAAUGAGAAGAAAGAAAGAAUCUGAUUUCAAGUUAAACAGCUCUUACUUAAGCACCUACUGUAAUUCAGGUCUGCACAAAGGGAGAUACACACAUGGAAAGGAAUUGCAUAUGUGUCUUGGAAAAUGAUAAUAGAGUUGGAAGUAACUUAAAAGUAACUUUUGGGAGUUCCCCUCAUGGCUCAGCAGAAACUGACUGGUAUCCAUGAGGAUCAGGUUCAAUCCCUGGCUUUGCUCGGCAGGUUAAGGAUCCGGCAUUGCCGUGAGCUGUGGUGUAGGUCACAGACAUGG
rnacentral:lncRNA from 1 species